GUUAACCCUGGAAUAGCGCGUGCCUCAACAAGGGGGGGAGGAUGGACGUGAGAGUGGAGCAGCAGAGAGGAGGACCAGCCCCCCCUCCUCCGCGUCGGCCCUGAAACAGGUGGCAGCAGAACCGGCUCUGAUGUCGCUCGGUUGCGACGGCCUCAGUACAGUGAUUAAAUUGUCCUGUGGCAGGGACAGACGGGGAGCGCGGGAGGCAGGGUUAGCAACAAAAGUGAGGCAGCUCGUAAAAUACUCAGCAUCUUGCCAAGCAAACGAAGUAACCCAUCCACCACUCCCCACCGUGUGUGGGGGCGCGUCGCAGCCCCCAAGGUGGGCUUUCUUGACGAGACAGACACGUUCUGCCUGGAUGAGAUCAUUAUUAGCCAGCUGCUAAGUACCCUCAUAUGCAUAUCUAUUUCUUGAAUUAUAAGCAUAAAUUGAACGAAGCAAAACGUUCUGAUGCCAGCAACAGUGUCUUCUCAGCACCGUUGGAGCAAUGUCUCAGCAAUGUAAUCAGUGGGCUGCCUGUGCUCUGGAGUGAACUUGGUCCUUCUGGCCCGGCUGACACAUCAGACCCCUCUGACCCGGAUUUCUGGAAGAGUAACCUCCUUCCUGGUAAAUGCUGGAGGGAUAAAUGGCUACAGACUUCAGGGAGAAGGCUGGAAGACUAAUUUUUAAGUACAGCACAGACUGAGAUGAAUAAAACAACACUCAUUCACUUGAAGAAACAGUCUCUAAGAGUCUGCAGACUCUAGAGGGGACAAGCAUUGAUGACCUACUCCCAACUCCCUGCACCAACAUCUUCCUCCCAUGUCACAUCAAGGCCAUUUCCACUGAAAAGUGUUCCAUGAUUUGCAUAGAACACAAUUAAGACAGAAUAACUCACACACAUUAGCUGAGAUUUAUCUUCCUUGGUGUGGAUUAGCAGCCCAGGUAAAGCUGUCUUCUCCUCCCUGAAAAAGUCAAGAGAUUUGCUAACACUGCUCUGGGGAAACCACUCUCUUGGGAACUCACUUACUAUUCCCCCUUACAAGGGCUCACAAACAGCUGAGCUGUCAAACACCUAAAGGUUUUAUCUGAAGCAUCUGCUAUGCCUCUUAAUCACCAAAAGCAGUCAGUUGUAAAAGUUAAUCACAAAAUUGCAAAGCAAUA